GGUCGGGCCCUGUGCGACUGCAGACCGUGAACCGAGUCAGGGCCGGAAGGCAGCAGCUCUCAGCGGAUCCUGGGGUGCGCCGCAGGUCGCCUGGCCGCC
rnacentral:SRP_RNA from 1 species